CUUAGCUACGCUGGUCGGGGGGCAGGGGCUUCCUGGAGGAAGGGACAUUAACUCUCCCAACAGAGGCUAACAUUCACGGAGAGCUUACCGUGUGCCUGGCCUGACCCCACUGAAUCCUCCCUCAGGACAACCUGGGAGGAAGGGGUUGAUGUUAUCCCUGCUUUACAGAUGGGGAAACCUGGCUCAGAGAACUGGAGCGACUUGCCCCGGCUCACACAGCAGCUGAGGGCAGAGCGGGAAUAUGAACCCAGGAGGUCCAGCUUACUCACAGUCUGGGGAGCGGACUGGACGGGCUUAGAGAGGGCAGCAGAUGAGAAGACCAGGACCAUGGACACCAGGGAGGCGCAAGGGGUCUCCUGGAGCUCAUGGCGAGAGAAGGAGCUGUUGGUGCUGCUAGAAGGUGUGUCCAGGUGCAUAGGUGAGCAAGACCAGGUGUACAGUGAGAGACAAGGGAAUCCCGCCGUUUGUGACAAGGAUGGGCGAGCUCCUCGAGGGCCGGGAGCGUGGGCCGUCUGUGCCGCCGCCUCCAAGCGCCGAUCGAGCCCUGGACAGCGUGUCCUGGCCAGUUGUUCUCUGCACUCGCCGUUCCAGUCCAGGCCCCGGGGCCCGGGAGCUGAUGCCUCCCCAGAGCAGCCCCCAGCCAGCGACGGUGCGAGUGGGGGACAAACGCCCACUCCCUGCCCUGCAGGGGAGAUGGCCCGAGGGUGUGUGGCCCUUCACCCCUGGUUCCCAGCGGGGCUUGAGCCUCAGGGCCCAGGUGGUGGCCGGCCUGGCAACACCUCCUCUGUCCCGGCAUCACCCCCGCCACACAACGCUUAUGGAUGCUGUUUACUGAGCACUUCCUGUGUGCCAGGCCCUGCGUAAAGGGCUUCGAGGGGCUUGCUGUCCUGGAGCCUUAGAGUGGCCCCAGAUUAUGGAUGAGGAAGGGAGCCAAGGUCACAGGGCUGCUGGGACCCAGACCCGGGUCUGAUGGCCUUAGCUAGUCGAGUGAAUGGGAGAGUGAAGCAAUGGGAGGGGACGGUCUCCAGGCCUGAGGGGGGGAGCAAACGACCGGCCUGGAUUCCUGCUGGCACAGGCCCUUUGGAGGGCUCUGGGGAAUGUGAUGGCGUGGGUGAUGGGCGCCUUUG
rnacentral:lncRNA from 1 species